GUGUCGUGUUGCAGUGGAGGUUUGAGUCGUGAUGAACUGCCUGGCCCAUGUCCUGCCUUUACACUACUAUCUGGAGGACCCCGGGCAAGUUCCUGAACUCUGCUGCUCAUUUUCUGGAAAAAAUAGGAGCUGAGGCACAACCUCCCAGGUUAUCAGUCUGGAGAAGGCAGUCCCAAGGAAGCAAGCAUGGCGUCGGGGGCAGCAAGGCCAGGAAGAAGUUCUGCAGACCCAAGGAAUGGGAGCUAUUUUAGCCCUUUUAAGAACUGACCAGAAAGGGACGCC